rnacentral:rRNA from 1 species
AAUAGAUACCCCGGUAGUCCAUGCCGUAAACGUUGGGCACUAGGUGUGGGACCCCCUCAACGGGUUCCGUGCCGUAGCUAACGCAUUAAGUGCCCCGCCUGGGGAGUACGGCCGCAAGGCUAAAACUCAAAGGAAUUGACGGGGGCCCGCACAAGCAGCGGAGCAUGUUGCUUAAUUCGAGGCAACGCGAAGAACCUUACCUGGGUUUGACAUGUACGGAAAAGCCACAGAGAUGUGGUGUCCUUUUGGGCCGUACACAGGUGGUGCAUGGUUGUCGUCAGCUCGUGUCGUGAGAUGUUGGGUUAAGUCCCGCAACGAGCGCAACCCUUGUCCUAUGUUGCCAGCGGGUAAUGCCGGGGACUCGUAGGAGACUGCCGGGGACAACUCGGAGGAAGGUGGGGAUGACGUCAAAUCAUCAUGCCCCUUAUGUCCAGGGCUGCAAACAUGCUACAAUGGCCAGUACAAAGGGCUGCUAUACCGCGAGGUUGAGCGAAUCCCACAAAGCUGGUCUCAGUUCGGAUUGGAGUCUGCAACUCGACU